CUUUACACCAACUUCUAAAAAAAAAGUAAAAUUACUUUUGUUUGACGUAUUUCGAUAGCACCCAAAAUAUUCGGGGAUUAAAGACAGAAUAAAUAGUGCAAACAAUUUUAGUACUCCUAUCUAUGAUUUUUAUUUUUUUAUAAUAUU